UAGGGAAUCUUCCGCAAUGGGCGAAAGCCUGACGGAGCAACGCCGCGUGAGUGAUGAAGGUCUUCGGAUCGUAAAACUCUGUUAUUAGGGAAGAACAUAUGUGUAAGUAACUGUGCACAUCUUGACGGUACCUAAUCAGAAAGCCACGGCUAACUACGUGCCAGCAGCCGCGGUAAUACGUAGGUGGCAAGCGUUAUCCGGAAUUAUUGGGCGUAAAGCGCGCGUAGGCGGUUUUUUAAGUCUGAUGUGAAAGCCCACGGCUCAACCGUGGAGGGUCAUUGGAAACUGGAAAACUUGAGUGCAGAAGAGGAAAGUGGAAUUCCAUGUGUAGCAGUGAAAUGCGCAGAGAUAUGGAGGAACACCAGUGGCGAAGGCGACUUUCUGGUCUGUAACUGACGCUGAUGUGCGAAAGCGUGGGGAUCAAACAGGAUUAGAUACCCUGGUAGUCCACGCCGUAAACGAUGAGUGCUAAGUGUUAGGGGGUUUCCGCCCCUUAGUGCUGCAGCUAACGCAUUAAGCACUCCGCCUGGGGAGUACGACCGCAAGGUUG
rnacentral:rRNA from 1 species